UACGUAGGGUGCGAGCGUUGUCCGGAUUUAUUGGGCGUAAAGGGCUCGUAGGCGGCGUGUUCGCGUCGGGAGUGAAAGCCCGUUGACUUGAACGGCGGGUUGGGCUUUCGGUACGGGCAUGCUGGAGUGCGGCAGGGGAGACGUGGAAUUCCUGGUGUAGGCGGUGGAAUGCGCAGAUAUCAGGAGGAACACCGGUGGCGAAGGCGGGUCGCUGGGCCGUUACUGACGCUGAGGAGCGAAAGCGUGGGGAGCGAACAGG
rnacentral:rRNA from 1 species